AGAAAACCUCAUUGAAGAUUGCAUUUUUUUUAAAAAUGUAUUUAUUUAUUUUUUUAGAGACAGAGUCUUGCUCUGUCACCCAGGCUGGAGUGCCAUGGCACAACCUCAGCUCACUGCAACCUCCGCCCCCGGGUUCAAGCGAUUCUCCUGUCUCAGCCUCCCCAGUAGCUGGGAUUACAGGCACCUGCCACCACACCCAGCUAAUUUUUGCAUUUUUAGUAGAGACGGGGUCUUAACAAAAUGUUGGCCAGGCUGGUCUCGAUCUCCUGACCUUGUGAUCCACCUGCCUCGGCCUCCCAAAGUGCUGGGAUUACAGGCAUAAGCCACCGCAUCCGGCCAAAAAAUUUGUUUUUUAUUGAUGUAUAAUAGUUGUACGUAGUUGGGGGUCCAUGUGAUAUUUUGAUGCCUGCACACCAGUGUGUGAUGAUGAAGUCAGGGUAACUGGGAUCUCCGUCACCUCAAACAUUGAUUGUUUCUUUGUGUUGGGAAUAUUACAAUUCUUCUUGAAGGCUGCAUUUUAAAUCUGUUUCAAAUGAAUUAUCUGUGUAACUAAUAUCUCAAUAUAUUUUAAAAUAUGUGUUUAAAUUAUUUAAAUG
rnacentral:sRNA from 1 species